CCUUUGGAGAAGCAAUCAAACUAGAGUAGAUACUUUAAAAGUAACAAAAUAGGUUUCGAUGAAUUAGGAA
rnacentral:ncRNA from 1 species